CUCUCUCUCUCUCUCUCUCCAAUUAUUUUAUCUUUGCAAAAUAUCACACUUAACAAAAACCAGACUGGUUUUCAGUUUCAGCUAAUAGCCUUGACCAUGUCACCUGUUAAGCCUUGAGCUUCCCCCAAGAUGCUUCUGUCUCCUAACCUUCAAGCUGAUGUCUUUUUUAUGCUAAUCUUCUGUUAUUUGAAUGUUUCUUCAGUGUAGAGGUGGUGUUCCAGUUUUUCUGAGGUGGGCUUUUUUUCUAUAUGGAUUUUGGGGUGGUUGGUUUGGAGGGGUUUGUGGGUUCAGACACUAGUAGUAGUUGUUUUGCUUCUCUUGCUACUUCAGAUCCUGAGAUAAAGCAGAAGUGGUACGGAUCUGGGGUUCUCAAGCAAGAGAGAUCUGGUACUACGUCUGAAGAUGAUUGUAGGAGCUCUAAACUGUCAAAAACUGAGUCAAUGCUGCUUCCUCAGAGAAACACUUUACUCAAAUCUAAUACCACUACUUCUACUACUACUACUCUUUUCCCUGAUGGUCAUCAACAUCAGCAGAUGCUGAGCUUCUCCCGUCCCAAAUCAGAAGCUCUUUCAGUGGAGAGGAGUACUCAGAAUGCCACAUUGCCUUACUUUCAACUUACUUCUUCUGCUUAUAAUAGAAAUACAGGAUACAACUAUGGAAGCUUCAAUAGUGCAAACAUGCAUGGGGUUUUGACCGAGGCUAGAGGGCCAUUUACUCCAUCUCAGUGGAUGGAGCUUGAACACCAGGCCUUGAUCUACAAAUACAUAACUGCUAAUGUGCCUAUACCUUCCAAUCUGCUCAUCCCCAUAAGAAAAGCCCUCGAUUCUGCUGGGUUUUCUAGCUUUUCAGGUGGACUCCUCAGACCCAAUGCAUUGUCUUGGGGAACUUUCCAUCUGGGGUUCUCGAGCAACACUGAUCCAGAGCCAGGACGGUGUCGAAGAACGGAUGGGAAAAAAUGGCGGUGCUCAAGAGAUGCGGUUGCCGAUCAGAAGUAUUGUGAGCGGCAUAUGAACAGGGGCCGCCAUCGUUCAAGAAAGCCUGUGGAAGGCCAAUCUGGCCAUUCCGCCGCCGCUGCUACAUCUACCAUGACUGCAAAGUCGAUGCCUACAGCCUCGUCCUCCUCUAUGUCAGCAGCCGUGGCGGGUCUCCGUGGCAGCAGCGGCGGCUCGUCCAACAGCCUCACCAUUGCACAGCAGCAGCAGCAGCAGCUAAAACACUUGCAGCCAGAUAGUUCAUUUAAUCUUUCUGCAGCUACUCCCCUCAGCAGGAUGUUUCUUGAUAAAGAGAAGUUGGGUGAGAGAGAUAGACUGCAAGAUUCACCUGGCUUGUCCAUGCUAUCAUCCAACAUUGACCUGAAAUCCAAAGAAAAUCCUUUCUUUGUUUCAAAAGAAUCCUCGCAAAUUGAGUUUGGACUUGUCAACUCUGAUUCCCUCCUCAACCCUUCACAGAAUAGCUCUUCAUUGAUCAGUUGCAGAAACUUCGGUUUGUCUCAGGACCUCACCGACCAAGAAACUGUUUCACAGCAUUCUGUUCGCCAAUUCAUGGAUGAUUGGCCUAAAUGCCAAUCUGAUCAAUCUGCAGUUUCAUGGCCUCAACUUGAUGUGCAAUCAGAUAGAACCCAAUUGUCAAUUUCAAUCCCCAUGGCCCAUACAGAUUAUAUGUCCUCCACCUCCUCUCCAAACAAUGAAAAAGUGACUCUCUCCCCAUUAAGAUUAUGUCGCGAUUUGGAUCCAGUACAAAUGGGGCUUGGAGUUGGUAGUGUUCUCAAUGAACAAAACCAAAGGCAAGCAAAUUGGAUACCAAUCUCUUGGGAAACUUCUAUGGGUGGUCCUCUUGGUGAGGUUUUGCACAAUACAAAUAGUAGUGCUUCAGAAUGCAAGAGUUCAUCUGCGCUUAACCUCAUGACAGAGGGAUGGGUUUGUAGUCCUCAGGUAGGUUCAUCUCCAACUGGGGUCUUGCAGAAGACUUCAUUUGCUUCACUUUCAAAUAGCAGUGCAGGAAGCAGCCCAAGAGCAGAGAACAACAAAACCAAUGAAGGUGCAAGUCUUUGCAAUGACCUUCUUGGUUCAACUCUAGUGCAUUCUUCUUCGUUGCCCGAGUUGUAACUGCUUGACCUGCCAAUUAAGUUUUUGGUUGAUGGAAGAAUUAGAUGAAGACGACUUCUUUUUUAAGUCUGUGCUGACAUAUGAGGGAACAAUUUGUUUUCAGUUUUUCAUCAGUAUGUUGUUUUCUUUUGUUUUAUUUUUUCUCUUUGAAAAUUUAUUUGAUAAUUUGCUUUUGCUUAGUAAAUGUUAAGACUAAUUAAAAGGGGUACUAGCCAUGAAGAAGGCUCUUAAACCUUGCAGUGUGGAAUUAU
rnacentral:misc_RNA from 1 species